GCCGAGGUAGCUCAGUUGGUAGAGCAUACGCCUGAAGAGCGUGGGGUCACCAGUUCAACCCUGGUCCUCGGCACCA
rnacentral:tRNA from 2 species